AGCUUUGGGCAGUGGCAGUAUCGUAGCCAAUGAGGUUUAUCCGAGGCACAAUUAUUGCUAAUUGAAAACUAACAGUCUUUUCAAUAAA
rnacentral:snRNA from 1 species